AGAUUCUCUCCUCCAUUUAUAGAUAUAAUAAGCUCACUUGUCUUGUCACCUUCCUCUUGUUUAAUAUUUAUUUAUUUAAUGAAUGAAAGGAAAUUUGAUAUCGGUUAUUUCAAAUUUUAUCCCUUGAAAAUAAUAAUAAACAAAUAAACGACUUGGGUAAUUUCUCCAAUUUAGUUCUUGUCCCCCCCCCCCCCCCUCCCAAAUUAAGGUUUUGGGCCACCAUUGCACCAACACCCGUUCACUCGUCCAUACAUUUUAGGUAAAUCAUACGAACUUCAUUACUGUGUUAUUAUUUUUGUGUGAAGAAUAAGUUACAGCUGAGCACCGGAUAAGUUUAACUUCAAAUUUUAUAACGUGGACGGUGGGGCCGUUCACUCGUCCAUACAUUUUAGGUAAAUCAUACGAACCUCAUUACUGUGUUAUUAUUCUUGUGUGAAGAAUAAGUUACAGCUGAGCACCGGAUAAGUUUAACUUCAAACUUUAUAACGUGGACGGUGGGGUAGCAUUUUGAAAAUACUUUAAGGCAAAUAUUAUGUUACGUUAAAUGUAACAUACAUACUCUACAAUAACCACACAAAUGAUAUAAUCCAUCAUUUAUGUGAUUGUUAUGAAAUGUUUAUGUUACGUUUAAUGUAACAUUGGGCUCCCGUGCUUUAAAUGGCUGUUGUAAACGAAUUUGUUACCUGAUUCUGUAUUGAUUGAGGCAUUAAAAGAUGGUCGUACUGUCAGUAUUUGGCAGCCAAGUUAAGAAAAAAUGAAAUAAGAUUUGGUAAGAGGUAAGGGCAUUAGAGAUAAAAAUUUCACGAAUUAAAAGGUGUAUAUGAAGGACACCAAGUCAAACUUCAGGGGCAAUAAUGAAAAUACACUUCAAACUUUGAGCCCACGCCCGCGAUCACGGCUAUAAUUUGCAUGCCUCAACAGGGUGACCAGUGACACGUGGUGCAUUACCGUACGGCCUGGAGUACCGGUACCUAUUCUUUAUCAUUUUUCGUUCUGGGAGCCACAUUGACUUCAUGCAUGGGCGAUGGGUUUAGUUAAACGUUUAGUGGCUCAAAAAUUCAUGUUCUGAUUCAGUGGCUGUGAUUCAUCGCUAUCCAUCUGCUGCCAUCAGUUUUGUGCAUACUAUUUCUAUCCAAUCGUUUGACUGAAUUGGCUCCAACAUAGAUCUGUACAUGAUGUGAGUUCCAUCCUCUUGCUGGCCCCUUUUUAGCUAAAAAAAAAGUCAAUUUUAUAAUUAUUUAAUGAUUUUCCUAAGUUAUAAUUAUUAGAACUUACAAUUAAGUGUAAAA
rnacentral:lncRNA from 1 species